UUACGGGAGGCAGCAGUGAGGAAUAUUGCGCAAUGGAGGCAACUCUGACGCAGCCAUGCCGCGUGCAGGAAGAAGGCGCUACGCGUUGUAAACUGCUUUUAACCGGGAAGGAACCCCAGGACGUGUCCUGGGUUGACGGUACCGGAGGAAUAAGCACCGGCUAACUUCGUGCCAGCAGCCGCGGUAAU
rnacentral:rRNA from 1 species